rnacentral:rRNA from 1 species
UUCUAAAAUUUAUAGUAGAAUUUUAUUUUUUAGUCAAAAAGCUAGAAUAAAUUUAAAAGACGAGAAGACCCUAUAAAUCUUUAUAUAUAGAUUAUUAGAAUUUUGUAGAUUUUUUUUAUUAUAAUAAUUAAUUAUAUUUUAUUGGGGUGAUAUUAAAAUUUAAUAAACUUUUAAUUUUUAAGAUCAUUAAUUUAUGAAUAAUUGAUCCGUUAUUAACGAUUAAAAAACUAAGUUACCUUAGGGAUAACAG